AUACCUUUCUCGGCCUUUUGGCUAAGAUCAAGUGUAGUAUCUGUUCUUAUCAGUUUAAUAUCUGAUACGUGGGCCAAUGGCCCACACGAUAUUAAAUUUAUUUUUCCAUGGGGAAGGCCUAUUACAGUAGCUUGCUACUGAGGUCCUUGCGCGUCGCCAAUGCGUUGCACUGCUGCUAUGGCCUGGCGCACCAUAC